rnacentral:lncRNA from 1 species
UGCAUCUCAAUAGUUAAUUCCUUUUUAUUGCUGAGCAGUGUUCCAUGGUCUGCAUGAACUGCAGUUUGCCUAUCCCUUCCCCAGCUGAAGCCAUCUGGAUAGCUUUCAAUAUAGUUUGUGAUUGCCAGUAAAGCAGCAUAAUUAUUAGUGUUCAAAUUUUAUGAAAACAUAAGUUUUCAUUUCUCUCAGGUCAAUCCUUAGGAGUGGGAUGUGCGGGUCAUAUGGAUUGUGGGUGAUCAUCUUCCAAAAGCAAGAGGUUAUGGAGUGGAUUCCAUCUGCAGAGGAGGAGGAGAAAAAGGCAGUGGACUCUCUCACUUCAAAUGCGAUUAGAGAGAUGUGUAAAAUGUGGGAAACAGUGCAAAAUUUU